UACGAAGGGGGCGAGCGUUGUUCGGAUUUACUGGGCGUAAAGGGCGCGUAGGCGGCCGAUCAAGUCGAGUGUGAAAGCCCCGGGCUCAACCUGGGAGGUGCGCUCGAGACUGGUUGGCUUGAGUUCGGGAGAGGAGCGUGGAAUUCCCAGUGUAGAGGUGAAAUUCGUAGAUAUUGGGAAGAACACCGGUGGCGAAGGCGACUUCCUGGCCUGUUCUUGACGCUGAGGCGCGAAAGCUAGGGGAGCAAACGGG
rnacentral:rRNA from 1 species